rnacentral:rRNA from 1 species
UACGUAGGGUGCAGGCGUUAAUCGGAAUUACUGGGCGUAAAGCGUGCGCAGGCGGUCUCUUAAGACAGGUGUGAAAUCCCCGGGCUUAACCUGGGAACUGCGCUUGUAACUGAGAGGCUAGAGUGUGGCAGAGGGGGGGUGGAAUUCCACGUGUAGCAGUGAAAUGCGUAGAUAUGUGGAGGAACACCGAUGGCGAAGGCAGCCCCCUGGGCUAACACUGACGCUCAUGCACGAAAGCGUGGGGAGCAAACAGG